GAGAAUGCAAUACACUUACUUCAGUAGGUUUUCACUCUAAGUGUUGAAUGAAUUGAUGCUUGUUGGUUCAGUGCUGGCCUCCCAAUGCUUGCGGCCUCCACUCUGGACAUUCCUCCGGGAAGAUUUCUGAACUUGAAGUGAGAGCAGCACCAUCGGAGAUUGUAUUUAAAAGGGUUUGUGUCUCCAUCCUACGAUGCUUCUUAUAAUUGACGUGGGAUGGGAGGAAACAGUAAUUUCUUUGAGUAACCCCCACCCCCAAUCCCAGUGUAUCAUGUGGCUGAGGUAAGACACCACUUUGGCCAAUCAGAGCAACCAAUCUCCCCUCCCUAGCGACUGGGAUCUGGAUGGCCAGCGAAAAUCCCUGGACUCUCACGAAAGUGACCGGAGAAAGAUGUUCCCCUUACGCUGGAUUGAACCUGGCGGGCAGCCACCUUGUCACCCCCUGGAACCCAAGAACAAACCACCAUGGAGCAGAGAGAAGAGGACAGCUGUGUCACCCGAGGCACUAGAUCCGUCUAAGCUUAAAGCCUUGAGCCCCUCAGUUACACAAAAGAAUACCAUCCUUUAAAAAACUGUUA